UACGUAGGGGGCAAGCGUUGUCCGGAUUCAUUGGGCGUAAAGAGCGUGUAGGCGGCCAGGUAGGUCGGUUGUGAAAACUGGAGGCUCAACCUUCAGAGGUCGACCGAAACCAUCUGGCUAGAGUCCGGGAGAGGAGAGUGGAAUUCCUGGUGUAGCGGUGAAAUGCGCAGAUAUCAGGAAGAACACCCGUGGCGAAGGCGAGUCCCUGGACGAUUUCUGACGCUGAGGCACGAAAGCUAGGGGAGCAAACAGG
rnacentral:rRNA from 1 species